UGGACCUAAUUGGGGCCUAUAU
rnacentral:snRNA from 1 species